CAGGGGGUCAGAGGAGGGGCUAACACGCUGAGCAGGGGGUCAGAGGAGGGGCUGAGGAGACGCAGGGCGCUGCAGCAGCCACACGGGGUUAUCGGGAUGGGUGUGUUGAGGGAUAGGAGCCAGAAGCUGUGGCAGUGAGGCCAAGUUGGGGUGUACGAGUUAGACGAGGGGUGAUAAGAUAACAAGGCAAACUCAGAAGGGCACCCAGGCCUGAUGCAGGCCUGGACGAUCAGAUUCAGGGUUUAUCUUGAAGCCUUGGUAGUCCCAACCUUUCCCUGACUUUCUCUUCAUUAGGCCCCUGGCCUUAUCCUCUCAGAACCUGGGAGCCUAGACCGAGGCCUUUUUCAAGAUACAGAGGGUUGUCAACAGGCAGGAGCCUCAGCUAGCCCUGAUGGCUCAGCUCUGGAGGGGACAAUGGUAGGACAGGUGGCUACAGAGGCAUAAAGGCCACGGUGUUUCUGGACCAGCCCCAGUGUCACCAGCUUUGGACUGGAAGUGGCUUAGGGGAGUGCUAGAGAGUGCUAGUGCUAGAGACCCCUUCCAGUAAGGACUCAGGCCCAUCGUCAUUUUAUCCCUCCCCUUGUGGCUUCCUGAGUGGGGGCGCGGUCACAUCUUGGGCAGCAGCCCACAGCUUCCAUAGCUUAGUAGGUCCAAGUCCACCUCAGGCCAGAAGGAGCUCAUUCUUUUGCCGUGAGCAAAGAGGGCCGCUGUCAUUUCCUUGUUCCAUGAUGAGGAUUCAGCUCACUCAAGACUUCUGAUGGCCUCAUGACAGCUUCUGGCUGUCAGAGCUCACAGACCAUCUGCUUGGAUUGCCCUGCGGCCCUCCUGUAGGGCACAGAUGCUGGCAAUAAUGUGUCCCAUUUGGCAGGCGAUAUGACAUUGCUUCUUGUAUCAUGUCAGGUGACUCAAAUAACGAUCAUGCCUGUUGACACUUGGAGCUCUCAGAGGGAAUUCUGAACAGCAAAGGAAAGAUGAAAUGAAACUCAAGGGUGCUUGUUCCAAACACUGCAGCAGCCCGCAUAACCAGCAAUGAAGCCAUUGCUAAAGUCAACAAUGAAAGAACUCUGGUAGGACAGAGCCCAGAUCCGUGGCGAUCCCACCUUUGCAUUUCCAUGGAAAUCAAGGCCCACAGAAGAAGAAACACAGAUUCUGAAAGGAAGAGAGAAAAAGGCAGACUAGCUAGAGAGCUUGGGGCCUGAGGAACACACAACAUGUAGGCUGUGUGAGUCCCAGGAGGACAGGACAGAUGUGAGAGGAGAAGAUGGAAGUCCUCGAGAGAGCCGACCUGGCCUUGAAUGCAAAAACCUGAAUAUUAAGGAUAAAAGAGGAGGCGAUAGACAGAGAAAUAAAACUGGAG
ensembl:lncRNA